AAGCAUGUGGACAAUUCAGUCAUGCAACAGAAAACCAGCAGAGUUAACAAGGCCACCAGUCUCUCGAGAUCAGGCUGAGUUGGUAGUAUAAUACUCUGACACUU
rnacentral:snoRNA from 1 species